CAAUCAUUACGAACAAUUGGAUUGUAUGAGAGUUAGAAAGAGGAGUAAUUGUAAUUUGUUAGUAUUUAUUAAGGGUAAUUAUGUCAGAUUCAGCCUGUAAAUGUGGAGAUUCUCUGUGCACAUGCGUCAAAGAGUGCACGUGCGGCAAGCUAGACGGAUGUAAGUGCGCCACGUGCAAGAAAAAAGAGGAAACUGAGAAAAGUUGCAAGUGUAAAGAUCCUACGUGCACAUG